GUGCUUACUUCGGUAACACAUAAAUACUAAAAUAGGAAUCAGACAAAGAUGACUAGCUUGGCCCCUGCACAAGGAUGACACAUGAGAAAAUAUUCUGUAUAAUAUAAUA